rnacentral:rRNA from 1 species
AAUCUUGGACAAUGGGGGAAACCCUGAUCCAGCCAUGCCGCGUGAGCGAUGAAGGCCUUAGGGUUGUAAAGCUCUUUCAGCUGGGAAGAUAAUGACUGUACCAGCAGAAGAAGCCCCGGCUAACUCCGUGCCAGCAGCCGCGGUAAUACGGAGGGGGCUAGCGUUGUUCGGAAUUACUGGGCGUAAAGCGCACGUAGGCGGACUAGCAAGUUGGGGGUGAAAUCCCGAGGCUCAACCUCGGAACCGCCUUCAAAACUGCUGGUCUUGAGUUCGAGAGAGGUGAGUGGAAUUCCGAGUGUAGAGGCGAAAUUCGUAGAUAUUCGGAGGAACACCAGUGGCGAAGGCGGCUCACUGGCUCGAUACUGACGCUGAGGUGCGAAAGCGUGGGGAGCAAACAGG